rnacentral:lncRNA from 10 species
UUGGGGAAUAGCCAUUAUCUCAUUAAUUCUUAAGAAAUAUCUAUUAAAAAGACAGAGACAGAGAGGGAGACGGGGAGAGAGGAAUCCUUUUACAUAUCUUACAGAAGAGGAAACAAACAGAGAUGAUUUAUAAUUUAGUCAGAUCAUGGCAUCUCAAAAAAGGAGGAAUAUUGGCAGAUCAUGCUGAUUUUCAGAAUGUCGUUGGGCAAGUUUAAAACACAAUUGGAAAGUUUAUCAGAGCAGUUCUUUUUUUUUUUUUUUUUUUUUUUUUUUACAGGAACCAGGAGAAAGAAUCACAGACAAUGAAGGUGGAUUUCUGGCUCCUUGUCAAGGUGCUGACCUACCUUGCUCAGGAACAAAUGUCACUUAGAGACAGUGUAAAUAUGACAUAUUGACAGGGGAAACUCUUUAUCUUUCAGUGAAAAGAGACUAUACAAACACGAUAUGUACUACUAGAUGUCCGAAUGUAUCACUAACGGAAGUUGUGGGAUACUUCCAUGAAUAUCAACAAACAAGAAUAAUCUAGAGAUUCCCAUUUGCAAAUAGUUUUAGGAAUUGACACAUUAAUGCUUUAAGACCUUAAAAACCUUGGGAAUCAAAGAUGUUUAAGAAUUUCUUUCCAAAGCUUUCACAUUAGUUCAUAAACUAAGAGAUUAAUGCAAAGAAUACUUAACGUACUCUUAUAAUUUCAUAUUAUACUUAUAAUAACCAUAUUAAGGGGGUGUUAUUCCCAAUUUCGUAGAGAAGAAAUCAGUGUGAGAAGGUUAAAUGACUUUUUCUGAAUGUUACGAAAGAAAAAAAUAAGAGAUAGUAGCAAGUGGUGGUGGUUCCAUUGACAGCUGGUAUCUUGAGCUCUGGUUCUUAAUUUGGUUACUGCCAUGUUUGUCGUGGCAGAGUGGUCUAGUAUCACAAAUGAGAAUGGCACCUAUCUAAGUAUGCAAUAUAAAUUUGUAAUAAUUAGUAAUAAAUUUAUUUUAUUAUAGCUAAUAUUUUAAAUGGAAUUGAUAAGGUCAAAGAAAAACACCAGCUCCAAAUCUAUAUAUGCCUUUUGCUGGAGUUACAUAGAAAGCACAUCUUUUUACUCAAAGAUUUGGCUUCCUAUUGGAAGACUCUGAAGAAAACCAUGGAUAAUUACACAAUGUAGGAAAUACUUUGGAUAUGCAGAAGUGUGGCUAUAUUUUGUUGAUGUUUUUAAUAAUGGCUACUCUCAUUCAUAAACUUCAAAUAAAUCACCCGAAUAAAAGUUGAUACUAUCACCAAGGUGGCAAGUUACCAUUUAAAUAAAGGGGAAAUGCAGACACAUGCUGAUGAACAAGUGUUCAUCAUCAUCAAUGUCUUCCCAGUUAAAAGUGUACAAACCCCUACAAGUCACUUUAUCUUUCUCGGUCUUAGUUUCUUAUGUGCCAUAUGAGAGAAAUAAGAUGAUGGGUAAGAUUUCUUCUAAUUCCUAGACUACAUGAUAUUACAGAACAGGAUCCCUGCCUAGUUUGAGAAGAUAUACAUACAUACAUACAUACAUACAUACAUACAUACAUACAUGCUUAAACAAGUGCCAGUGAUAUGAAAUUUAAAUACUAUUUUAGUAGUUGAAGCUAGAAAUUAGUAUCUGAGUUCCACAGACUCUUGAUCAUUCUGUCCAUUACUUCUGAAAUACAAACGUGAAAUGUGCUGAGGGAUGAAGACCAGCUCUAUUUAAGGGAUAUUCAUGGCUGGGUGCAGUGGCUCACGCCUGUAAUCCCAGCACUUUGGGAGGCCAAGGCAGGUGGAUCACCUGAGGUCAGGAGUUUGAGACUGGCCUGGACAAUGUGGUGAAAGCCCGUCUCUACUAAAAAUAUAAAAAUUAGCUGGGCGUGAUGGUGGGUGCCUGUAAUCGUAGCUACUUGGGAGGCUGAGGCAGGACAAUCGGCUUGAACCUGGGUGGUGGGGGUUGCAGUGAGCCGAGAUCACACCAUUGCACUCCAGCCUGGGCGACAACAGUGAAACACUGUCUCAAAAAAAAAAAAAAAAAAAAGACAUUCAUAUUCACGUUUCAAUGCUGGCUGAAGCCCUAUAGCCAAGAUUCAGAAUUCUGGAUUUUGAAAUCCAGUAAUGUACCCAGCACUUUCUCUUGUUCAGUCAUUAUAAAAAGACCUAUCUGGCAAGUAUCCUCCUGGUCUUCUCAUAUGGGAACCAUUCCAUGAUCCAGCUGAAGGAGUUGGCCUUCAAUGCUGAAACUCCUCAGCUGCUCACCACCUCUAAAACCACUUUCAUUUUCAAGAGGAAAGAAAACAAACAUCUGACUCUCAGAAGAGACCAAGGGAUCCAUCUUGAUGUUGGAAAUCUGGCCACAGGCAUGGAGCAAAGAUUAUAGGAGGCAGGUUUGGAGUUUUCUGGCAUCAAUUCAGCUUGCUAUUUUCUUUAAAACUUAAAACCUCAGCUCUAAGGUAGGACACAAAGCUCACUGAAAACUCUAAGCUGCAUAUUACCACAAAGCUCAGUAGACCCAAUUUUUUGCCUCCACUUACAGAGAAAAGCAAGCACUACACAAGUGCACGGAUUCCAUGGGGCAAUGGCAACCACCCUGUUCAGAAAACUUAAAGA